rnacentral:rRNA from 1 species
UGGGGGAUAUUGCACAAUGGGCGAAAGCCUGAUGCAGCGACGCCGCGUGGGGGAUGAAGGCCUUCGGGUUGUAAACUUCUUUUGCUCUGAACAAGGCACACCAUGGGGUGUGUUGAGUGUAGGGGUUGAUUAGCGCCGGCUAACUACGUGCCAGCAGCCGCGGUAAUACGUAGGGCGCGAGCGUUGUCCGGAAUUAUUGGGCGUAAAGGGCUUGUAGGUGGCUGGUUGCGUCUGUCGUGAAAGCUCAUGGCUUAACUGUGGGUUUGCGGUGGGUACGGGCUGGCUUGAGUGCAGUAGGGGAGGCUGGAAUUCCUGGUGUAGCGGAGGAAUGCGCAGAUAUCAGGAGGAAUACCGGUGGCGAAGGCGGGUCUCUGGGCUGUUACUGACACUGAGGAGCGAAAGCAUGGGGAGCGAACAGG